CCCUUAGAUGUUCUGGGCUGCACGCGCGCUACACUGAUGCGAUCAACAAGUUUUUCCUAUGUCGAUAGACACGGGUAAUCUUUUGAACUCGCAUCGUGAUGGGGAUAGGUUAUUGUAAUUAUUAAUCUUCAACGAGGAAUUCCUAGUAGGUGCAAAUCAUCAGUUUGCAUCGAUUACGUCCCUGCCCUUUGUACACACCGCCCGUCGCUGCUACCGAUUGGUUGAUCUGGUGAAUUAUUCGGACUGCCGGCUGAAGGGGUUUCCUCAUCUGCCAGCGGAAAGUCUUGUUAACCCUAUCAACUAGAGGAAGCAGAAGUCGUAACA
rnacentral:rRNA from 1 species